CAGGGGCGGGUGUGGCGUUUAGUUGUUUUUUUUGCUUUCUUUCCCUUUUAAGUUUGACGGGUUAAGUCUCAGUUCCAGCGGGGAGAGAUGAAAGCAAGGUUUCUGUUUUAGGCCACGGAGGAGUUAAUUCCCUCAGCCCGCUGAGCAAGUCAGCUUCCUAAAAGUUGCAGGAAUUUUGCCUGUAACUUUUUUUAACUGGAGUUUCUCCUAUGGCAACUCCCCUUAAAAUUAGAGAAAGGACAGCAAUGCCCUCUGAGAAGGCGGGCUGACUGGCAGGAGCAGCUCUAAGCUACAGCUGAGUCUUUGGCACUGGUCCUGGGGUGCUUCUGAAAAGACUUCUGAAAAGUGUAAUAAAAAAACGGGGGGGGGGCAGCAGUAAGUUUAUGAGCCAGUGCAUUCAGGGAAGGCUUGACACAUAGAAUAACAGAGUUGGACGGGACCUUGGAGGUCUUCUAGUCCAACCCCCUGCUUAGGAAGGAAACCCUACACCAGUUCAGACAAAUCUUCUUAAAAACUUGCAGUGUUGGAGCAUUCACAACUUCUGGAGGCAAGUGGUUCCACUGAUUAAUUGUUCUAACUGUCAGGAAAUUCCUCCUUAGUUCUAAGUUGCUUCUCUCCUUGAUUAGAAUAGAAUAGAAUAGAAUAGAAUUUUAUUGGCCAAGUGUGAUUGGACACACAAGGAAUUUGUCUUGGUGCAGAUGCUCUCAGUGUACAUAAAAGAAAAGAUACGUUCAUCAAGAGUUUCGACAUCUUAUUUACAUCGUGGCGACCAUCGUGCCACCAUUCUGGCAGCUGCUGCACACAACUGGCUCAUAUUUAAAUGACUGUCCACUACGGCUCCAAGAUCCCUCUCACAGUGACUACUACUGAGCAAGGUACCACAUAUUUUGCAUCUGGUGCAUUUUGUUUCUCUUGCCUAAAUGUAGGCAAGAGAAACAACUAGACAUGAACAACAUCUACAUACUGUGCAAAAGAGACAAGAAGGCAAAAAGGGAACUACAGCAACAAAACGGUUCUUCACCAGCAGUCAACCUAUCCAGAUGAGCGUGGAUGAACUCCCAAGAUGAACAUCGGAUCUACAGUCAAGAAGUCGACAAUUCCUCAGCCAAGGAGUAGCCAAACAAGUAACACACAAGUUGGACUAUAAGAAAGGCUGAACGCCAAAGAAUGGAGGCCUUUGAACUCUGGUGCUGAAGAAGACUCCUGCAAAGAAGAGGAAGUCAAACUAUUCUCCAAAGCCCCUGAGGGUAGAACAAGAAGCAAUGGGUGGAAACUCAUCAAGGAGAGAAGCAACUUAGAACUAAGGAGAAAUUAUCUGACAAGUUAGAACAAUUAAUCAGUGGAACAACUUGCCUGCAGAAGUUGUGAAUGCUCCAACACUGGAAAUUUUAAAGAAAAUGUUGGAUAACAAUUUGUCUGAAAUGGUGUAGGGUUUCCUGCCUGGGCAGAGGGUUGGAGUAGAAGACCUCCAAGGUCCCUUCCAACUCUGUUAUUAUUAUUAUUAUAAGUCCCUUGGAUUGCAAGGUGAUCAAACCUGGUCAAUCCUAGAGGAGAUCAACUCUGACUGCUCUUUAGAAGGCCAGAUCCUGAAGAGGAAACUCAAAUACUUUGGCCACCUAAUAAGAAGGAAGGACCCAUUGGAGAAGAGCCUAAUGCUGGGAACAAUUGAGGGCAAAAUAAGAAGGGGAUGGCAGAGAACGAGGUGGCUGGAUGGAGUCACUGAAGUAGUCGGCGUGAGCUUAAAUGGACUCCAGAGGAUGGUAGAGGACAGGAAGGCCUGGAGGAACAUUGUCCAUGGGGUCGCAAUGGAUCGGACACAACUUCGCAACUAACAACAAAACAAAUACACACACACACACACACACAUAUCCUCAUCCAGAUUCUAGUAAAUGUGCUGCAGAUGGAAGCUUUUCCGUCUUUUUCUUGUAUUCCUGAAAAAAAGAGUUUUUUUAAUAGUUAAGAUUUAAAGAUCAUAUUUAAAAGAAGUAUAGUGUCAGCAGUACACAAGGCUCAGCCUGAAAUCACACUCAAUAUUCAAAAAAGUAAAUCAUAAGAACUAUGGCAUCGCUACACCAUCCCAUCUAGAUAUAGUGGGAGGAGGAAGUUGUUUUAGAUAUGUUUGCCAGCUUGCAUUAUGUAUAAAAUAAUAAUAAAGGCAGGAUAGGAGUAAAAUUUAAAAAACCAUCUAGAAUCACAUUCUAGAUCUUGAAAGGCAUGAGCCAAAUUCAUGCAAAUUCCCCCCCCCCAUCAACUGUCUUUAAUGUGAUCAUGUCUUUUCCAUAUUUUGGAACAAUAGUAUCUCGGCAUUCCUGUCCAGACAUAUCUGGAAAAUGACAGGUUGAAGGUAACUGAUGUUGACUGGGUGUAUAAGGGGAAAAGUCAUGAGGCAUUUUGGAAGUACAUUUAAAACAGAUGGACAAAGCAAUGGGAAAGCUGAGCCAAGUACAUACCAGAUGGACUUGGACGUAUUUAAAGAGUUGAGUGAACAUUACUUUCCUACUGGGUGAACAAAAAUCGAACUAACUUAUCCUCAACCUAAUUGAAAAAAAUUAAACAGACAAUGGCAUUGUGUGUGUGUGUGAGAGAGAGAGAGAGAGAGAGAGAUAGAGAGGGAGAGGGAGAGAGGGAGAAGGAGAGAGAGUUGGAGAGGGAUGGAGGGAGACUAUUGGAGAGGGAA